CCACACCUAAAAAACUUUCCACGUGAACUGUCUUACUUAGUUUUGUGCUACUAUAGGAUAUUCUAUCUAUAUAUAGAGUAUUCGAUAGUGGCUGAACGAAGGUUGGGUAAAGUGUUGUCUUUGUAUGCUUUAUUGCAUACAAGACGUACACUACCGACUGACUUAUUUUUUCAACCCCUUACUUUAACAACUGAACUAUACUGUGAGAACGAAAGUUCUUGCUUUUAACUAGAUAACAACUUUCAGCAGUGGAUGUCUAGGCUCGCACAUCGAUGAAGAACGCUGCGAACUGCGAUACGUAAUGCGAAUUGCAGAAUUCAGUGAGUCAUCGAAAUUUUGAACGCAUAUUGCACUUCCGGGUUAUGCCUGGAAGUAUGUCUGUAUCAGUGUCCGUAAAUCAACCUUGCCUUUCUUUUUCUGUGUAGUCAGGAAAAGAGACGGCUGAUGUGAAGUGUCUCGCGUGCGUCGGUUUUUGGUAAAACAAAAGCACGACGGUCGAGUCCUUUUAAAACGACACGAUCUUUCUUAUGAGUUUGCGACGUGUGUUGGUCGAACGCAGUGAUUUUCGGAUCGCUCGUGGUCGUCAGCGACUUCGGUGAAUGCAUUAUGGAGGAAACCUUGCUUCGCGGUACGUUAGGCUUCGGCUGGACAAUGUUGCGUAUGUGAGUGUGGAUUCCGUGUUCGCCUUGAGGUGUACUGACGAUUGUGGGCUUGAUCAGUUGAUUGUUGUGUAGUAGAUUGAUAUAUUGUUUGUGACUUCGUCUAUAAUUAGCGCAUGUAUGUGUGUUGAUUGUAGGAGAAUGAUUGAUUUGGGAAUUUUGUGUUUAUUUGCUUUCGAGUAAAUAUACAUCUCAUUGGACCUGAUAUCAGACAAGACUACCCCGCU
rnacentral:rRNA from 1 species